rnacentral:rRNA from 1 species
CGGGGUGAGUAACGCGUGGAGAACCUGCCGUAUACUGGGGGAUAACACUUAGAAAUAGGUGCUAAUACCGCAUAAGCGCACAGCUUCGCAUGAAGCAGUGUGAAAAACUCCGGUGGUAUACGAUGGAUCCGCGUCUGAUUAGCUGGUUGGCGGGGUAAAGGCCCACCAAGGCGACGAUCAGUAGCCGGCCUGAGAGGGUGGACGGCCACAUUGGGACUGAGACACGGCCCAAACUCCUACGGGAGGCAGCAG